rnacentral:misc_RNA from 1 species
CUUCCUAUUGCAAUUGUCUUGUUAUUUACACCAAAUUACUUUGUUAUUUCUUAGCUAAGUUAGCUUGUUUUACUCUUUAUUAGCAUUAGGCUUAUUUUAGCUUGUUUAUUGUAUUUCAGUGUUACUCGUUUCCGUUUAUUUGUUAUUGUCUUCGCUGUUUGUCAAUAAACUCGUAAAGCGUACACUCGUAUCUGUCGUAACUACGUCGACCGUUUUGGCCGUCUUACAAUUCGACAUGCUGAAUCUGCCUAAGAUGUGGUCUUUUCUGGGUAUCAUCCUGAGAAUCCUACUGCACCCGAAGAUUUUAAUGUUCUUGUCAGUAAUAACGAUAUUUUUCUUACUUAACAGGUCGAACAAUCCUGUGGUGCUCAAAGCCCAAGUGGAUUUCAAAGGAAUCAAGCGCAGUGUAUCUUUCGAAAAAGGCGACGAGGUUCUGGAACUACGUUACCUUAUCAUGGUAGCUUUUGCCGAUGUAGGUUUAGAUAAAUUGCCUCCAGCCCACGUAGAGUUACUCAAGUACGAUGAAGGUGAUCAGGAUUAUGUCCCUCUGCCUCUUGAUACAACACUUGAAAAAGAUAUAAACGUUAAAGUGAAGCUUACAGAAGACAAGGUG